GAUACGGGACUCAUCCGAGGCCCCGUAAUCGGAAUGAGAACACCCUAAAUCCUUUAACGAGGAUCUAUUGGAGGGCAAGUCUGGUGCCAGCAGCCGCGGUAAUUCCAGCUCCAAUAGCGUAUAUUAAAGUUGUUGCGGUUAAAAAGCUCGUAGUUGGUUCUGCGUGCCACGCUGUCGGUUCACCGCCUGCCGGUGCAACUGGCAUGCCGUGGCAUGUCCUGUCGGUGGCGGAUAGGCUUCGCGGCGUGCCCCAUGCGGCUUUACGUCAUGUGGGUUGUCGCUCCGCGUUGUCCUUGUACGCCGGCUCAAUCCUACCGCGGUGCUCUUUACCGAGUGUCGAGGUAGGCCGACAAUGUUUACUUUGAACAAAUUAGAGUGCUUAAAGCAGGCUCUUGAAUCAGCCUGAAUAGUGGUGCAUGGAAUAAUGGAACAGGACCUUGGUUCUAUUUUGUUGGUUUUCGGAAUCCAAGGUAAUGAUCAAUAAGGACAGGCGGGGGCAUUCGUAUUGCGACGUUAGAGGUGAAAUUCUUGGAUCGUCGCAAGACGCACUAGAGCGAAA
rnacentral:rRNA from 1 species